rnacentral:rRNA from 1 species
GACGAACGCUGGCGGUGUGCUUAACACAUGCAAGUCGAACGGAAAGGCCCUGCUUUUGUGGGGUGCCCGAGUGGCGAACGGGUGAGUAACACGUGAGUAACCUGCUCUUGACUUUGGGAUAACUUAAGGAAACUGGAGCUAAUACCGGACAGGAGACCCCGCUGCGUGGAGGGGGGUGGAUCGUCUCGGCGGUCGGGGAUGGAUUAGCGGGUUAUCAGCUAGUUGGUGGGGUAGUGGCUGACCAAGGCUGUGACGGGUAGGCGGCCUGGGAGGGUGAGCGGCCACAUUGGGACUUAGGUACGGCCCAGACUGCUACGGGAGGCAGCAGGGGGGAAUAUUGCACAAUGGGCGGAAGGCUGAUGCAGCAACGCCGCGUGCGGGAAGACCGCCUUCGGGUUGAAAACCGCUUUCGCCUGUGACCAAGCGUGAGUGACGGUAAUGGGUAAAGAAGCACCGGCUAACUACGUG